CAUUUAGCUGAAUCUUAUUUCUCACUUCUCACAGACAAACACUCUCAGGAAGACACUCAGGAAGACAGCAUCCGGUGAACACUCUCAGAGGCCAGUACGGCGAACACUCUCACUGGCGCCACCAGUGAAAUCCGGCGGUUCUUUGGUCUGAAUUGGGUAGUGAAUGGCAUUGCUUUCCAUCAUCUUUCUUUAUCCUUGGCUACGUUGGUGAAUUUUGUUGGUUAGGUGAUGGCUUCCAAGGCCUCCUUCCAUUCCCAUUCAAUUCUGUUUUGGGUGGUACUGCAGCUGCAUCACAUUAUUCCAAUAACAAAAGCAAGGCAUCUGAUGAGCAAUAUUUAAAUAUCCCACUCCCUUCUGAGACAAUUCAUUUAUUUUGCACACUUCACUCUCCAGGUUGUUGGUUUGACCUGAAUCUGGGCCGCUAAACAAGUUCAGUUUAGAAUGGAAGUUGCACCCUCAUCCAUGGUGCAUAUUGGAUUGGGCAUAUAUAUUAUGCUUUUUUAGGAUUGAUUUUGUGGUACAUUUAUUGACUGCUUUAAUUAUGUUGAAUUUCCUGAAAAUCAAGGCCUAAACAACACAUCUCAUUGCAUCCUGAUCAAUCUGAUCCAUCUUAUUUUAUUUUGGGUUAUGAUUUAGUGAGUUUUUGGCCAAGCUUGCUUUAGGUUAACUGAUCAUCUUGGAUUUGGCUAUGUUUUGACAGUUACAAAUUACUAUGUUGUCCACAUUCACUUGGCCCUAACCCAACCAAACCUUUUCAAGCUGUGCCUUUAAUUCUGAUUUUUCUUUUGUCUUAUAGGUCCUCUUAUGUGAAUGAUCUUCCCAUAUAUUCAAUUCUUAUUUAAUCCGAGGUUACAGCUCAGGGAUGUUGAUGCCAGUACUUUCCUCACUGAAUUACAACUAAACCGAACUUACCCUUCUUGUGGAAGUGACCUUUCAACAUGGAAGGUUGUUGCUGAAAUACCUUUCCUGGACAGGGCGCUUUCACUUCCUUUGUGCCGGUCAUUCUUCAUCCCACAUUCAUGGCAGCACAAAAAUGUAUUUGGCAUGUACAAACUACUGAGGAGAAUACCAAAGUGAUGUAGGAUUGACAAUAAAAUGCUACUAUGGAAGAACAGUUCUUAUCCAACUUUUCUGGUUUUGAUUGAGGAAUGUGGUUAAUGACCAUGAAGGUGAUCUAGCCCUACUUAAGUACAUUGAUUUGGCCAGCUUAAUCGUUGUAAACUAGCAUUUUUCUUACAUAGUGGCCAGUGUGUUUAAUCUUAAA